rnacentral:rRNA from 1 species
GGAGACAGAGCACCGGGUGCUAACGUCCGGACUCAAAAGGGAAACAACCCAGACCGCCGGCUAAGGUCCCCAAUAACAGCUAAGUGGAAAACGAAGUGGAAAGGCCGUGACAACCAGGAAGUUGGCUUAGAAGCAGCCAUCCUUCAAAGAAAGCGUAAUAGCUCACUGGUCGAGUCCUUCUGCGCGGAAGAUGUAACGGGGCUAAGCUGUUAACCGAAGCCGCGGAUGCACUGAUUAUUCAGUGCGUGGUAGGGGAGCGUUCUGUAAGUCUGCGAAGGCGGUUCGAGAGGACUGCUGGAGAUAUCAGAAGUGCGAAUGCUGACAUGAGUAACGUUAAAGCAGGUGAAAAGCCUGCUCGCCGUAAGCCCAAGGAUUCCUGCUCUACGUUCAUCGGAGCAGGGUGAGUCGGCUCCUAAGGUCAGGCCGAAAGGCGUAGCCGAUGGGAAUCAGGUUAAUAUUCCUGAACCUGCGUCAGAUGCGAUGGGGGGACGGAGCAUGAAAGAUCAUCCGGGUGUUGGAUGUCCCGGUUGACGAGCGUAGGAGGUCUGCAGGCAAAUCCGCAGACGCAUCUCCAAGGCGAAGACACGUGCCGCCACGGCGGCGAAGUGAUCGGAAGUGCUUCCAAGAAAAGCCUCUAAGCACCAGUCUGACGCGGACCGUACCGCAAACCGACACUGGUGGGCGAGCUGAAUAUGCUCAGGCGCUUGAGAGAACUCGGGAGAAGGAACUCGGCAAAUUGACACCGUAACUUCGGAAGAAGGUGUGCCGUAGUACCGUGAGAGGAGAGACACCUUGAGCGGGAAUCGGUCUCAGAGAAUAGGUGGCUGCGACUGUUUAUUAAAAACACAGCACUCUGCAAAGUCGAAAGACGACGUAUAGGGUGUGAUGCCUGCCCGGUGCUGGAAGAUUAAUUGAUGGGGUGAGAGCCCUUGAUCGAAGUCCCAGUAAACGGCGGCCGUAACUAUAACGGUCCUAAGGUAGCGAAAUUCCUUGUCGGGUAAGUUCCGACCUGCACGAAUGGCAUAACGAUGGCCACACUGUCUCCUCCCGAGACUCAGUGAAGUUGAAAUGUUUGUGAUGAUGCAAUCUACCCGCGGCUAGACGGAAAGACCCCAUGAACCUUUACUGCAGCUUUGCAUUGAACUGUGAACCGAUUUGUGUAGGAUAGGUGGGAGGCAGAGAAGAGGCCACGCCAGUGGUCUUGGAGCCGACCUUGAAAUACCACCCUGAUUUGUUUGCGGUUCUAACCACGGACAGUGAUCCUGUCUUGGGACCGUGCAUGGUAGGCAGUUUGACUGGGGCGGUCUCCUCCUAAAGGGUAACGGAGGAGUACGAAGGUACGCUAGGUACGGUCGGAAAUCGUGCUGAUAGUGCAAUGGCAAAAGCGUGCUUGACUGCGAGAGCAACAACUCGAGCAGAUGCGAAAGCAGGUCAUAGUGAUCCGGUGGCUCUGAAUGGAAGGGCCAUCGCUCAACGGAUAAAAGGUACUCUGGGGAUAACAGGCUGAUACCGCCCAAGAGUUCAUAUCGACGGCGGUGUUUGGCACCUCGAUGUCGGCUCAUCUCAUCCUGGGGCUGUAGUCGGUCCCAAGGGUAUGGCUGUUCGCCAUUUAAAGAGGUACGUGAGCUGGGUUUAAAACGUCGUGAGACAGUUUGGUCCCUAUCU